GGUAUCUGUUGUGUACCUAAAAAAAAAAAACGUGCACGUGCUUUGGAAAACAUCAACCCUGUGGUGUGGGGAGAUGAAACGAUUACAGCGGCAAUGUAAGAAAAUUUGACAUAAAUAAACGGCUGUGAAAGAAAAAAACAAAUAUGCCGAGGCAAUGUGUUUGCAAGUGCACCUCCGAGGGAGCUUCUCUUCACAAAUUUCCUUCGGAUAGAGAAAUAUCCAGGCUUUCGGGCUUUCGGACGGGAACGGCGCGUGUUUAAGCAAAUUUUUUCAAUAAAUAGAAUUUAGGUAUUCACACCUGCCUGAUUUUCGGUAAUCUAGUUGUGUAGUUUUAUUUUUAUUCAGUUGAUGACAAUCAAAUAACCUGAACAAAAAAUUAUUUACAACUAGUUAACCUUAUUACCGGGAUGGUAUGAUUAUCUUCAAUAUCUUGUAAGAAAAUGUUGUUUAUAUUAAUAUAUGUAAUAAACGUUUCAUGACGAUUCAGA